rnacentral:rRNA from 2 species
CGAGGCAGCAGUAGGGAAUCUUCCGCAAUGGACGAAAGUCUGACGGAGCAACGCCGCGUGAGUGAUGAAGGUUUUCGGAUCGUAAAGCUCUGUUGUUAGGGAAGAACAAGUGCCGUUCAAAUAGGGCGGCACCUUGACGGUACCUAACCAGAAAGCCACGGCUAACUACGUGCCAGCAGCCGCGGUAAUACGUAGGUGGCAAGCGUUGUCCGGAAUUAUUGGGCGUAAAGGGCUCGCAGGCGGUUUCUUAAGUCUGAUGUGAAAGCCCCCGGCUCAACCGGGGAGGGUCAUUGGAAACUGGGGAACUUGAGUGCAGAAGAGGAGAGUGGAAUUCCACGUGUAGCGGUGAAAUGCGUAGAGAUGUGGAGGAACACCAGUGGCGAAGGCGACUCUCUGGUCUGUAACUGACGCUGAGGAGCGAAAGCGUGGGGAGCGAACAGGAUUAGAUACCCUGGUAGUCCACGCCGUAAACGAUGAGUGCUAAGUGUUAGGGGGUUUCCGCCCCUUAGUGCUGCAGCUAACGCAUUAAGCACUCCGCCUGGGGAGUACGGUCGCAAGACUGAAACUCAAAGGAAUUGACGGGGGCCCGCACAAGCGGUGGAGCAUGUGGUUUAAUUCGAAGCAACGCGAAGAACCUUACCAGGUCUUGACAUCCUCUGACAAUCCUAGAGAUAGGACGUCCCCUUCGGGGGCAGAGUGACAGGUGGUGCAUGGUGUCGUCAGCUC